AAGGGAGACCUAAUUCCGGUAGGAGACGAAAAAAAGUAGUCCCAACCAAGAAUCAAUCCCAAAAGGUCGGAACGAGGUAUGAGGCUUUCAAACUAGGUUCUGGGUUCAUAAAAGACCUGAAUCAGGAACAAGGGCUAUUAGCUCAGGUGGUUAGAGCGCACCCCUGAUAAGGGUGAGGUCCCUGGUUCGAGUCCAGGAUGGCCCACCUGCACAGGUGGCAAAAACAAGAGAAGCUCCGAAUCAGCACCUUAUCUUAUAUACAUAUAUAAGAGAGAAUGCUGGCUCUGAGUACAGAGUCCAGAGGAACCUUGAAAACUGCAUAGAGCUAGGUGAAAAAGCCAAAAAAGAAGACCGCAA
rnacentral:tRNA from 1 species